UACGAAGGGGGCUAGCGUUGCUCGGAAUCACUGGGCGUAAAGGGUGCGUAGGCGGGUUUUUAAGUCAGAGGUGAAAUCCUGGAGCUCAACUCCAGAACUGCCUUUGAUACUGAGAAUCUUGAGUAUGGGAGAGGUGAGUGGAACUGCGAGUGUAGAGGUGAAAUUCGUAGAUAUUCGCAAGAACACCAGUGGCGAAGGCGGCUCACUGGCCCGAUACUGACGCUGAGGUGCGAAAGCGUGGGGAGCAAACA
rnacentral:rRNA from 1 species